AUUCCUCCGGGAGGCUCCCGCCGGGCCGCUGCGAGGGCCCGAGGUGAACCGAGAACCGCCGGCGUCGAGUCGGAUCUCACAGGAUUGUGCUUCGGCGACCACGCAUCUCUCCGCACCACGGCGUGUCUGAGUGGAACCACCUGUGCAUCCUCAUCUCCUGCAGCGACUGUACACCGGCGAAAAACCUCAGUUUGAAUUUUGGGACAAGGCUUCCAAAAUUACAAAACAUGUCCAGCCGAACUACUGCGGAAUCCUUUGAGAAUAGUGUCGGCCCACAAGACAUGUUCUCAUGUGCCAGAUAUAAGGUCAUUGGAUAUUAGAAUACGAAAACAAUCCCAUGAAGCAGCUGCUUUUUCCAGUGUCGAGACUGAACUUUGAACCUCACUGAGAGAAGUUGGUCAACUGACAGAGCGUGACUUCAUGUAACUUUGCAAGAAGUUGAAAUAUUUGUGGUAGUUAUCAGGAGUUGGAAGUUUUAAACUUCUGACCUCUGCUUCUGACUCCAUGAGUGCAGACUUCUCAACUACCAGAGCCAAACUAGACAAUACACAAGAGUGACCCCAAAUGACCCCAUCCAGCUUAGACUGGUUUAGAUUCGACUUUAAUUCUACAGUCCCCCCCCCUCCCGAGGAUCAAUAAAGGGCGAUUAUUUAAAUUGAAAGCUUGAGGCAGUAGUUCAGACUCUCAUGCACGCUGCCAUUCAAGCUAGUGUUUUCAGGAAAAGACCAUAUUGUGUUAUCUCUUCUGGGGGCGUGGCCUGGAGUCAGACGUUUCAAACCACAGAUCAGUCAACAGUAUGUCUCUGCCCUGUGUGAGUCACUGUUAAGAGCCAGAUCUCCCAAGACGUAUUCAGACACGACAUAUGGGGAGUAAACAAGCUGGUUUUUUUUGGAAAAAACAAAAAGAAAGCAUUAAGCUCUUUUUUUCCCCCGCCAUCCGUGUGAUCUCAAAUUGCUCAGUCAGGUUUUGUAGGGAACUGUCCAGCCUGAGAUUGUUACCAAAGCUUUUUCUGUUUUUACACAGACCUGCAAUGUGAACGUGACAAUACAAAUGCAAGAUGUAUUCAAAACACAGUACCUGGUGAUGGAAAGGUUUUCAUCAAUGAUCUCUUCUUGAUGGCUGUAUAUGCUCAUGAACACAACACGACUGCAUGUGCAAUCCUUGGAUUAAGAAAAAAUGAGAGGAAUUAAACUAUCAAAAAGAUUUAUUAUUGAUUAAAACUAUGUAGCGCUCAUGUACACCACACAGUGGCAGCAUUUUAUCAACAACUGGAUGAACAUUAGCUCCUGACUGUAAAGAAACAUCAGUUAUUCUCAACGUCAGAUUAAUUUGUUUUCAUAUUCAAUGUUAACUUCAUUGAACGCAUUGUAAAUCACAGGGGAACUCAUUUUCAGUAUUAUAAUAAAUAAAUAAUAUGC